AACGAACGCUGGCGGCAUGCCUAACACAUGCAAGUCGAACGAGACCUUCGGGUCUAGUGGCGCACGGGUGCGUAACGCGUGGGAACCUGCCCUUAGGUUCGGAAUAACUCCCCGAAAGGGGUGCUAAUACCGGAUAAUGUCUUCGGACCAAAGAUUUAUCGCCUUUGGAUGGGCCCGCGUUGGUUUAGCGAGUUGGUAGUGUAAAAGCCUACCAAGGCGACGUUCCAUAGCUGGUCUGAGAGGAUGAUCAGCCACACUGGGACUGAGACACGGCCCAGACUCCUACGGGAGGCAGCAGUGGGGAAUAUUGGACAAUGGGCGAAAGCCUGAUCCAGCAAUGCCGCGUGAGUGAUGAAGGCCUUAGGGUUGUAAAGCUCUUUUACCCGGGAUGAUAAUGACAGUACCGGGAGAAUAAGCUCCGGCUAACUCCGUG
rnacentral:rRNA from 1 species